rnacentral:rRNA from 1 species
AGAGUUUGAUCCUGGCUCAGAAUCAACGCUGGCGGCGUGCCUAACACAUGCAAGUCGAACGAGAAAGGGACUUCGGUCCUGAGUACAGUGGCGCACGGGUGAGUAACACGUGACUAACCUACCCUGGAGUGGGGAAUAACUGAGGGAAACCUUAGCUAAUACCGCAUAACACCUACGGGUCAAAGGAGCAAUUCGCUUCAGGAGGGGGUCGCGGCCGAUUAGUUAGUUGGCGGGGUAAUGGCCCACCAAGACAGUGAUCGGUAUCCGGCCUGAGAGGGCGCACGGACACACUGGAACUGAAACACGGUCCAGACUCCUACGGGAGGCAGCAGUGGGGAAUUUUGCGCAAUGGGGGAAACCCUGACGCAGCAACGCCGCGUGGAGGAUGAAAUCCCUUGGGAUGUAAACUCCUUUCGAUCGGGACGAUUAUGACGGUACCGGAA